rnacentral:rRNA from 1 species
UACAGAGACUGCAAGCGUUAUUCGGAUUCACUGGGCGUAAAGGGUGCGCAGGCGGCCAAGUGUGUCAGGUGUGAAAUCCCGAGGCUUAACCUCGGAACUGCGCCUGAAACUACUUGGCUAGAGUACUGGAGAGGGUAACGGAAUUCACGGUGUAGCAGUGAAAUGCGUAGAUAUCGUAAGGAAGACCAGUGGCGAAGGCGAAUCUCUGGACAGUUACUGACACUGAGGCACGAAGGCCAGGGGAGCAAACGGG